rnacentral:tRNA from 2 species
GGGGGAUUAGCUCAGUUGGGAGAGCGCCUGCCUUGCAAGCAGGAGGUCGUCAGUUCGAUUCUGAUAUCCUCCACCA